UUAUAAAAUUUAGAUACAGGGUAACUUUCAAAUUGUGAGUGUGAGGAGAAAGAGAUAAUCGUUCACUUCUAACAGAGUGUACUGAUGCCAUUUUAUCUUUAUCCCAUUUUAACUUGCAUUUAUCCUGUUUUUAUGAUUAUUUUAAAAUUUCUUAAGAGUAUGCUACAAAAUAAUUAAUGUAGAAGGUGCUGGAAAAGAGAAGCGAUAACACUGCGUGCUAACGCGAGUCAGCGCCAUUUUAGCACGCAUACAAUCUGUGGGAAUAACGUUACAUGGUGGCACAACACGACUUCUGGGGACUCAACAUUUAUUUUUAAGACUUAAAGGAAUUGGAGGAGAAUGGGAUUGCGGUAUCAGAUGAAACCGUAGUCAAAGGAACCUUGUAUUGCAUUGCUGGAGAUAAUCUAGGGUGACGAUCCUAAUCUAUGUGGACCAGCCCGCACCAUUGAGAGCUACAAUUCAGCUGUAGAUCGCAUCCAGACUGAAGAUACACAAGUGGAAGGAGUAAAAUUCAAAGACGAUCAUGUCAAAACACAAUGAACACAACAACACCUGCUAAACAUUCUUCAAAAACUAUGUCCCACCUCUCUUCAGUAAGUCUGGAGCCAAUAAUUCAGACACCAGUCUUAAGGAUAAUUGGGAAGUAAUGAGAGAUUAUACCAGUCCACAGUGACUACGUGUGAGUCCUCAGGUAGUACCCGUGACGAUGCAAGCUUUACGUUUCCAGUUUUUCGAACCGACACAGUCCCAUAUCUUCAGUCAAGCGUGGACUCAUUACUAUUGUUCAGCCAGAGCAAGUGUUGCUGAUUGAUGUUUAUUCCACCAUUGGUUAUCCUUCAUUUAUUAUGGACACAUGC